rnacentral:rRNA from 1 species
AGGACGAACGCUGGCGGCGUGCUUAACACAUGCAAGUCAAGGGGGAGUCGCAAGACUCAACCGGCGAACGGGUGCGUAACACGUGAGCGACCUACCUAAUUGUGGGGGAUAGCCGGCCCAACGGCCGGGUAAUACCGCAUACGAUCGGAGAGGGGCAUCCCUUUCUGAGGAAAGCCUUCGGGCGCAAUUUGAGGGGCUCGCGGCCUAUCAGCUAGUUGGCGGGGUAACGGCCCACCAAGGCGACGACGGGUAGCUGGUCUGAGAGGAUGGCCAGCCACAUUGGGACUGAGAUACGGCCCAGACUCCUACGGGAGGCAGCAGUGGGGAAUAUGCGCAAUGCCGAAAGGCUGACGCAGCGACGCCGCGUGCGGGAUGACGCCCUUCGGGUGUAAACCGGCUGUUGCCCGGGACGAAGUGGCGAUAUAAAUCCGGUUUGACGGUACCGGUGAGGAAGCGACCGGCUAACUCCGUGCCCGAGCGACGCCGACGUACUGUAGACGGCGCGUCGACGACGGCGA